CUAAAUACUACCCAGUGACCGAUAGCGUAUAGUACUGUGAAGGAAAGGUGAAAAGCACCCCGGGAGGGGAGUGAAAAAGAACCUGAAACCCUGUGCCUACAAGCACCUAGAGCACGUCAAUGUGUGAUAGGGUACUUUUUGUAGAACGGUCCGGCGAGCGAUUGUAUGCAGCAAGGUUAAGGACUUAAGGUCUGGAGCCGAAGCGAAAGCGAGUUUGAAAAGGGCGUUAAGUUGCAUACAAUGGGCCCGAAACCGGGUGACCUACCCAUGGUCAGGUUGAAGUGGAAGUAAAAUUCCAUGGAGGACCGAACCGACCUCCGUUGAAAAGGCGGCGGAUGAACUGUGGGUAGCGGAGAAAUUCCAAUCGAACCCGGAGAUAGCUGGUUCUCCCCGAAAUAGUUUUAGGACUAGCCUCAAGUUAGAUACCUGGAGGUAAAGCACUGAAUAGCCUAGCGGCCGAGAGGUUAGCGAAGCUUAUCAAACUCAGAAUGCCAGAGUAUUGAUGCUUGGGAGUCAGACAGUGUCAGAUAAAUGUCAUUGUCAAAAGGGAAACAGCCCAGAUCUACAGCUAAGGUCCCAAAGUCAGGUUAAGUGGAAAACGAUGUGAAGAUACGUAGACAACCAGGAUGUUGGCUCAGAAGCAGCCACACAUUCAAAGAGUGCGUAAUAGCUCACUGGUCGAGCGUCUUUGCGCGGAGAAUUUAACGGGGCUAAACCUGACACCGAAGCUUAGGCAAUACAGUAAUGUAUUGGGUAGGGGAGCGUUGUAUACGCGGUGAAACAGUAGCGCAAGCGGCUGUGGAGUGUAUAGAAGUGAGAAUGCCGGAAUGAGUAGCGCGAAUGCAGUGAGAAUCUGCAUGGCCGAAAGCCUCAGGUUUCUGGAGGAAGGUUCGUCCGCUCCAGGUUAGUCGGGAGCUAAGGUGAGGCCUAACGGCGUAGCCGAUGCACAGACGGUAGAGAUUCCGUCACCACCAAAAGAGUUAAACACAGGGACACAUUUGAAGUCUCGGAGCCGGGUGUUGGUUCCGGUAGCGAUCGAGGGAAAUUAGUACCGAAGUCCGGGAUGGAAGAUGGCGAGAAAAGCUGUGUGUAUUUCUGCGGUGCCCGUACCGCAAACCGACACAGGUAGGUAGGAAGAAGAUUCUAAGGCCAACGGGAGAAGGGUUGUUAAGGAACUCGGCAAAUUGACCCCGUAACUUCGGGAGAAGGGGUGCUCCAGAGAUGGAGCCGCAGAGAAUCGGCCCAAGCAACUGUUUACCAAAAACACAGGUUUGUGCUAAAUCGAAAGAUGACGUAUACGAGCUGACGCCUGCCCGGUGCUGGAAGGUUAAGAGGAGAUGUGCAAGCAUUGAAUCGAAGCCCCAGUGAACGGCGGCCGUAACUAUAACGGUCCUAAGGUAGCGAAAUUCCUUGUCAGGUAAGUUCUGACCCGCAUGAAAGGCGUAAUGAUUUGGGCACUGUCUCAACAGCCCGCCCGGCGAAAUUGUAGUACCGGUGAAGAUGCCGGUUACCCGCGACAAGACGGAAAGACCCCAUGGAGCUUUACUGUAGCCUAAUAUUGGGUUUCGAUGUUGCAUGCACAGGAUAGAUGGGACACAGGGAAACAAGUGCUUUGGCAUUUGUGGAGUGGCCGUUGGGAUACCAUCCUUGCGAUAUUGGAAUUCUAACCUGCGCCUUUGAAUCAAGGCGGGGGACAUUGUUAGGUGGGCAGUUUGACUGGGGCGGUCGCCUCCUAAAGAGUAACGGAGGCGUUCAAAGGUUCGCUCAGCUUGAACGGAAAUCAAGCAAAAGAGUGCAAACGCAGAAGCGAGCCUAACUGCGAGACUGACGGGUCGAGCAGUAACGAAAGUUGGAGUUAGUGAUCCGGUGGUAUGUGAGUGGAAAUGCCAUCGCUCAACGGAUAAAAGCUACCCUGGGGAUAACAGGCUGAUCUCCCCCAAGAGUCCACAUCGACGGGGAGGUUUGGCACCUCGAUGUCGGCUCAUCGCAUCCUGGGGCUGUAUUCGGUCCCAAGGGUUUGGCUGUUCGCCAAUUAAAGCGGUACGCGAGCUGGGUUCAGAACGUCGUGAGACAGUUCGGUCCCUAUCUGUCGUGGGCGCAGGAUAUUUGAUGGGAGCUGUUCCUAGUACGAGAGGACCGGAGCGGACGUACCUCUGGCGCACCAGUUGUUCUGCCAAGGGCAUAGCUGGGCAACUAUGUACGGAUCGGAUAAACGCUGAAAGCAUCUAAGCGUGAAGCCGACCCAAAGAUAAGAUAUCCCAUUGUUUCAAACAAGUAAGACCCCUUGAAGACUACAAGGUUGAUAGGCACGAUGUGUAAGUGGAGUGAUCCAUUCAGCAAGCGUGUACUAAUAGGUCGAGGGCUUGACCAC
rnacentral:rRNA from 1 species